CGGAAUUCAAUUUCUCCCUGAACCGCAAGUUCUGAAAGGCGGACCUUUCCAAAUCCCGCUCUUUUUUUCUUCAAUUCAGUUCUUCGUGGCUUUGUGCUGUGGGAUCUUCAAUUCAAACACCCCCAAUCUCAACACUGCCAUGCUUCAGAUACACAAUCACAACCUUUCAUCAUUCUCUUCUUAUCUAACGCAUACUCUUCCUUCGUAGACUGGAGCUGAGGCUAGAGGAAACUAGUUAGUCAAUGUCAAGAUGCACCACCACUAUCAAAAAACUCAGGCAUUCUUGCCUUGGAUUAUUAGUGAAACGCCCAAAACUGAACCCCACAUCACACUGCAUCAGAGUUGGCCUAUUUUCAUCAUCAUCGCCAUCCCAACUGGAGAACAUUCUCCUGGUGGCAUUUCUAACCAAGAACCUCUCUGAGUCUGGCACUCGUAAUCUCGACCCAGAUACCAUUCCUCUUUCAGAGCAUCUUGUUCUUCAAAUCCUACGAAAAAGCUCGCUUCACGUCUCUAGGAAAAUUGAUUUCUUCAAAUGGUGUUCUCUCAGACAUAAUUACAAGCACUCUGAGUGCACCUAUUCGCACAUGUUUCGCACUUUGUGCCGCGCUGGGUACCUUGAGGAGGUCCCCAAUUUGCUAAAUUCAAUGAAGGAUAAUGGUGUAGUUGUUAGUUCUGAUACCUUUAAGUUUCUACUAGAUGCAUUUAUUCGAUCGGGUAAAUUUGACUUUGCACUUGAGAUCCUUGAUCACAUGGAGGAAUUAGGAACUAAUUUGAAUACCCACAUAUAUGACUCUGUCAUUGUGGCACUGGCUAGGAAAAAUCAGGUAGGUUUGGCCUUGUCCAUCUUCUUUAAGCACCUAGAAGCCUCCAAUGGUAUGGCCAAAGAGGAUGCUGCUGGUAAUGUUGUUGGUGUUUCACUGCCUGGUUCCAUUGCAUGUAAUGCAUUGUUUGCUGCACUUAGAAAGGCAGACAUGAGGGAAGAAUUCAGAAAGGUUUUUGACAAACUGAGGGCAAAGGGCUUUGAGUUGGAUACAUGGGGUUACAACAUUUCCAUUCAUGCAUUUGGUUUUUGGGGUGAUCUAGCCACCGCAUUAAGGCUUUUCAAAGAGAUGAAGGAAAAGAGUUUGGGUUCUGGAUCAUUUGGUCCUGAUUUGUGCACGUAUAAUAGCCUCAUUCAUGUACUAUGCUUGCAUGGAAAGGUGAAAGAUGCAUUGAUUGUUUAUGAGGAAUUGAAAGUAUCUGGUCAUGAGCCCGAUUCCUUUACAUAUCAAAUACUUAUUCAGGGUUGCUCUAAAUCAUGUCGAAUGAAUGAUGCAGCAAAGAUAUUUAGCGAGAUGCAGUACAAUGGGUUCCUUCCAGAUACCAAGGUGUACAAUUCUCUCCUUGAUGGGAUGUUCAAGGCAAGGAAAUUAAUGGAAGCAUGCCAGUUGUUUGAGAAGAUGGUUCAGGAUGGAGUGAGGGCCUCAUCCUGGACAUACAAUAUUUUGAUUGAUGGGUUGUGUAAGAAUGGUAGGGCUGAGGCCGGUUACAGUUUAUUUUGUGACCUGAAGAAGAAGGGCAAGUUUGUGGAUGCCGUUACUUACAGCAUUGUUGUGCUACUACUUUGUAGGGAAGGUCAACUUGAGAAAGCACUACUCUUGGUGGAAGAAAUGGAGGAGAGAGGCUUUGUUGUUGACCUAGUUACUAUAACGUCACUCUUGAUUGAAUUUCAUAAACAAGGUAGGUGGGACUGCACAGAGAAGUUAAUGAAGCACAUAAGAGACGGUAAUCUAGUACCAAAUGUUCUCAACUGGCAGGCGAACAUGGAGGCUUCAUUGAAAAAUCCGCAGAGCGGAAGAAAGGACUAUACACCCAUGUUCCCAUCUAAUGGCAACCUUAAUGAGAUUAUGAGUUUAUUAAGAUACCCUUACUUAGAGAACCGUAGUUCAGAUGGUAGUGCAGUUGAGGAUGAGAACAGUUCAUCUAGUGAAACUGAUCAGUGGUCAUCAUCCCCAUAUAUGGAUCAUUUAGCCAAUCAAGUUGAGUCUACUGAUCAUUCUUCUCAGCUAUUUUCACUGGCUAGAGGCCGAAGAGUUCAAGUUAAGAGGAUAGACUCUUUUGAUAUUGAUAUGGUUAACACUUUCUUGUCCAUAUUUUUGGCCAAGGGAAAGCUGAGCUUGGCUUGCAAGUUGUUUGAGAUAUUCAGUGAUAUGGGUGUGAACCCCGUGAGUUACACGUACAAUUCUAUCAUGAGUUCUUUUGUCAAGAAAGGCUAUUUUAGUGAGGCAUGGGAUGUCCUUAAUGAAAUGGGUGAAAAGUUUUGCCCCGCAGAUAUAGCAACAUAUAAUAUGAUAAUUCAAGGGUUGGGAAAGAUGGGAAGGGCAGAUCUUGCCAGCUCUGUUCUAGAUAAGCUAAUGAAGCAAGGUGGUUACCUUGACACAGUUAUGUACAACACCCUGAUUAACGCAUUGGGGAAGGCUGGCAGGAUUGAUGAAGCUAAAGUGCUUUUUGAACAGAUGAAAAGCAGUGGAAUAAAUCCCGAUGUGGUCACUUACAAUACUCUGAUUGAAGUUCAUAGCAAGGCAGGUCGUUUGAAGGACGCAUAUAAGUUCUUAAAAAUGAUGCUGGAUGCUGGCUGCCUGCCAAACAAUGUCACUGACACGACUUUGGACUUCCUGGCAAUAGAGAUUGAGAAAAAAAGGUACCGAAAGGCAUCAAUCUUGGGUGAGAAGGAUGAUUCCAAUUGAGGUAUCUUUACUCAUGAGUCAAGAGGUUGGUUGAAGAAUUAUCAGAUAGUGAGUGUUUCAGCCGAAAAUCCUCAGUAGCAAGUCUUUCAGGAGAAGAUCCUCUUGGAACUGACCCGACAUUUUAACCGAUAAUGGAAUUACGUCAGGUGCCAUCUUGAGCUAUAUGCUUUCCACUUCAUAUUCCAAUUCAAUGUUUCCUAGUAAAUUCUGUACUGUUAACCAGAAGAAUGCAAAAUGGUACAGAUUGGAACAGCAUUCUACAAUUGCUAGCCACAUAUGCACAGAUUAAUAUCAAAUUAGCCGAUUGUGUGUCAUCCCAUGGUUUCAUUGCAUGUUUCAGAUUCACGGAUUUCCCCUAGAUGGUGUACCUGGUUGCUUGAUAUAAUUUAGAGGAAGAUGUGCCGCUCUGCAAAAGGUCAUCAUACUGCGAAGGCUCAAUUAGUACUUCCAACGGCUUGAAGUUCAAUAUUGCCCUUCAGGAGAAAUAUAACAUCAGGAACGGGUACUUGAAAAGCGACUUAUUUUGAAGCCCAUGUCUGUUAAUCAUCAAAAUGGAUUAUUACUGCUAAUUUAUCCAAGGCAGAUUAAAGCUAAAUUUAUGUAUUAGGUUGGUUAUAUAUCAUUAAAUGAUUGAUUCCUUGAAGCUUUGCACAUUUCUUCUUCAUGUAUCUCGUUAAACAAUCAGAAUACUUUUAUAUUUUUCGAAUUGUUAAG
rnacentral:misc_RNA from 1 species